rnacentral:rRNA from 1 species
GAUGAACGCUGGCGGCGUGCCUAACACAUGCAAGUCGAACGGAGUCCAGCCUUUAAGACCUUCGGGUCAAAGAGGGGAAGACUGAGUGGCGGACGGGUGAGUAACACGUGGGCAACCUGGCUCAUAGAGGGGGAUAACAGAGAGAAAUUUCUGCUAAUACCGCAUAAGCACACACUGCUGCAUGGCAGAGGGUGAAAAGAGAAUCGCUAUGAGAUGGACCCGCGUCUGAUUAGCCAGUUGGCAGGGUAAGAGCCUACCAAAGCGACGAUCAGUAGCCGAUCUGAGAGGAUGAACGGCCACAGUGGGACUGAGACACGGCCCAAACUCCUACGGGAGGCAGCAGUGGGGGAUAUUGCACAAUGGGGGGAACCCUGAUGCAGCGACGCCGCGUGAGUGAAGAAGUAUUUCGGUAUGUAAAGCUCUAUCAGCAGGGAAGAUAAUGACAGUACCUGAAUAAGAAGCCCCGGCUAACUACGUG